rnacentral:rRNA from 1 species
AGUGAACGCUGGCGGUAGGCCUAACACAUGCAAGUCGAACGGCAGCACAGUAGGAGCUUGCUCUUACGGGUGGCGAGUGGCGGACGGGUGAGGAAUACAUCGGAAUCUACUUUUUCGUGGGGGAUAACGUAGGGAAACUUACGCUAAUACCGCAUACGACCUACGGGUGAAAGCAGGGGAUCUUCGGACCUUGCGCGAUUGAAUGAGCCGAUGUCGGAUUAGCUAGUUGGCGGGGUAAAGGCCCACCAAGGCGACGAUCCGUAGCUGGUCUGAGAGGAUGAUCAGCCACACUGGAACUGAGACACGGUCCAGACUCCUACGGGAGGCAGCAGUGGGGAAUAUUGGACAAUGGGCGGAAGCCUGAUCCAGCCAUACCGCGUGGGUGAAGAAGGCCUUCGGGUUGUAAAGCCCUUUUGUUGGGAAAGAAAAGCAGCAGGUUAAUACCCCGCUGUUCUGACGGUACCCAAAGAAUAAGCACCGGCUAACUUCGUG